AUUGAACGCUGGCGGCAUGCCUUACACAUGCAAGUCGAACGGUAACAGGUCUUCGGAUGCUGACGAGUGGCGAACGGGUGAGUAAUACAUCGGAACGUGCCCGAUCGUGGGGGAUAACGAGGCAAAAGCUUUGCUAAUACCGCAUACGAUCUACGGAUGAAAGCGGGGGAUCUUCGGACCUCGCGCGGACGGAGCGGCCGAUGGCAGAUUAGGUAGUUGGUGGGAUAAAAGCUUACCAAGCCGACGAUCUGUAGCUGGUCUGAGAGGAUGAUCAGCCACACUGGGACUGAGACACGGCCCAGACUCCUACGGGAGGCAGCAGUGGGGAAUUUUGGACAAUGGGCGAAAGCCUGAUCCAGCCAUGCCGCGUGCAGGAUGAAGGCCUUUGGGUUGUAAACUGCUUUUGUACGGAACGAAAAGCCUCUUUCUAAUAAAGAGGGGUCAUGACGGUACCGUAAGAAUAAGCACCGGCUAACUACGUG
rnacentral:rRNA from 1 species